AGAGUUUGAUCCUGGCUCAGAUUGAACGCUGGCGGCAUGCCUUACGCAUGCAAGUCGAACGGCAGCACGGGAGCAAUCCUGGUGGCGAGUGGCGAACGGGUGAGUAAAGCAUCGGAACGUGCCCAGUCGUGGGGGAUAACGUAGCGAAAGCUACGCUAAUACCGCAUACGAUCUGUGGAUGAAAGCGGGGGACCGUAAGGCCUCGCGCGAUUGGAGCGGCCGAUGUCAGAUUAGGUAGUUGGUGGGGUAAAGGCUCACCAAGCCGACGAUCUGUAGCUGGUCUGAGAGGACGACCAGCCACACUGGGACUGAGACACGGCCCAGACUCCUACGGGAGGCAGCAGUGGGGAAUUUUGGACAAUGGGCGCAAGCCUGAUCCAGCAAUGCCGCGUGCAGGAUGAAGGCCUUCGGGUUGUAAACUGCUUUUGUACGGAGCGAAAAGGCUUCCACUAAUACUGGGGGCUCAUGACGGUACCGUAAGAAUAAGCACCGGCUAACUACGUGCCAGCAGCCGCGGUAAUACGUAGGGUGCAAGCGUUAAUCGGAAUUACUGGGCGUAAAGCGUGCGCAGGCGGUCUUGUAAGACAGGUGUGAAAUCCCCGGGCUUAACCUGGGAACUGCACUUGUGACUGCAAGGCUGGAGUACGGCAGAGGGGGAUGGAAUUCCGCGUGUAGCAGUGAAAUGCGUAGAUAUGCGGAGGAACACCGAUGGCGAAGGCAAUCCCCUGGGCCUGUACUGACGCUCAUGCACGAAAGCGUGGGGAGCAAACAGGAUUAGAUACCCCGGUAGUCC
rnacentral:rRNA from 1 species